rnacentral:rRNA from 1 species
UGCAGUCGAACGAUGAAGCCGCUUCGGUGGUGGAUUAGUGGCGAACGGGUGAGUAACACGUGGGCAAUCUGCCCUUCACUCUGGGACAAGCCCUGGAAACGGGGUCUAAUACCGGAUAACACUCUGUCCCGCAUGGGACGGGGUUAAAAGCUCCGGCGGUGAAGGAUGAGCCCGCGGCCUAUCAGCUUGUUGGUGGGGUAAUGGCCUACCAAGGCGACGACGGGUAGCCGGCCUGAGAGGGCGACCGGCCACACUGGGACUGAGACACGGCCCAGACUCCUACGGGAGGCAGCAGUGGGGAAUAUUGCACAAUGGGCGAAAGCCUGAUGCAGCGACGCCGCGUGAGGGAUGACGGCCUUCGGGUUGUAAACCUCUUUCAGCAGGGAAGAAGCGAAAGUGACGGUACCUGCAGAAGAAGCGCCGGCUAACUACGUGCCAGCAGCCGCGGUAAUACGUAGGGCGCAAGCGUUGUCCGGAAUUAUUGGGCGUAAAGAGCUCGUAGGCGGCUUGUCACGUCGGAUGUGAAAGCCCGGGGCUUAACCCCGGGUCUGCAUUCGAUACGGGCUAGCUAGAGUGUGGUAGGGGAGAUCGGAAUUCCUGGUGUAGCGGUGAAAUGCGCAGAUAUCAGGAGGAACACCGGUGGCGAAGGCGGAUCUCUGGGCCAUUACUGACGCUGAGGAGCGAAAGCGUGGGGAGCGAACAGGAUUAGAUACCCUGGUAGUCCACGCCG